AUGCUUUUCCAGUUUUUCAUAAAACAGGACUGGUUUUUUUUUUCCCCCAGUAUUUAUCUUCUCUUUAUUUCUAGAUGCCCAAAUGAGCAAAGAAAAUACUUACCACUGAGGAAUGUGUGUUACUUGACUGGGCAGAGUCUACCCACAGUAGCCAACUGUUUUCUUGAAAUUCGUGAACACUUUUUCCAAGGAAAUUCCAGUGGACCCUCCCUAAGUUACCAAGAGCUCUUCCUCUUCCAGAGAGGUCUCAUCUCCCAGCUGCUUCAAAGACGCCUACAGUCCUGGAGGGAUUUUGUGUUAAAUGUCAUCCACUUGUCACAGGCUAUCUUUUCCUCUACAAAAGUCUGAAGCCCCCUGAACUGGAAGAAUGGAUAAAAGCAUUUUAAAGAAAGGGGCACUGAUUUAAUAAUGCUUUUGGCAGAAGAAGUUAAGUGUUAGUUUGAAGUGAAAAAUAAAGCAACCUGUGACGGAGCCUGGAAUCA
rnacentral:lncRNA from 1 species